rnacentral:rRNA from 1 species
CCUACGGGUGGCAGCAGUAGGGAAUCUUCCACAAUGGGCGAAAGCCUGAUGGAGCAACGCCGCGUGUGUGAAGAAGGUCUUCGGAUCGUAAAACCCUGUUGUCAGAGAAGAAAGUGCGUGAGAGUAACUGUUCACGUUUCGACGGUACCUAACCAGAAAGCCACGGCUAACUACGUGCCAGCAGCCGCGGUAAUACGUAGGUGGCAAGCGUUAUCCGGAUUUACUGGGUGUAAAGGGGACGUAGACGGCUGGUCAAGUCUGAAGUGAAAUCCCGGGGCUUAACCCCGGAACUGCAUUGGAGACUGGGCGGCUGGAGUGUAGGAGGGGUAAGCGGAAUUCCUGGUGUAGCGGUGAAAUGCGUAGAUAUUAGGAGGAACACCGGUGGCGAAGGCGGCUUACUGGACUGAAACUGACGUUGAGGCGCGAAAGCGUGGGGAGCAAACAGGAUUAGAUACCCUGGUAGUC